GAUGUACGCUGGCGGCGUGCCUAAUACAUGCAAGUCGAGCGAACGGACGAGAAGCUUGCUUCUCUGAUGUUAGCGGCGGACGGGUGAGUAACACGUGGAUAACCUACCUAUAAGACUGGGAUAACUUCGGGAAACCGUAGCUAAUACCGGAUAAUAUUUUGAACCGCAUGGUUCAAAAGUGAAAGACGGUCUUGCUGUCACUUAUAGAUGGAUCCGCGCUGCAUUAGCUAGUUGGUAAGGUAACGGCUUACCAAGGCAACGAUGCAUAGCCGACCUGAGAGGGUGAUCGGCCACACUGGAACUGAGACACGGUCCAGACUCCUACGGGAGGCAGCAGUAGGGAAUCUUCCGCAAUGGGCGAAAGCCUGACGGAGCAACGCCGCGUGAGUGAUGAAGGUCUUCGGAUCGUAAAACUCUGUUAUUAGGGAAGAACAUAUGUGUAAGUAACUGUGCACAUCUUGACGGUACCUAAUCAGAAAGCCACGGCUAACUACGUG
rnacentral:rRNA from 1 species